ACUUGCGGGGUGCCUAUAAUGCAAGUCGAGCGGACUUGAGGAGGAGCUUGCUUCACUGAUAGUUAGCGGCGGACGGGUGAGUAACACGUAGGCAACCUGCCCUCAAGACUGGGAUAACUACCGGAAACGGUAGCUAAUACCGGAUAAUUAAAUUCGCUGCAUGGCGGAGUUAUGAAAGGCGGAGCAAUCUGUCACUUGAGGAUGGGCCUGCGGCGCAUUAGCUAGUUGGUGAGGUAACGGCUCACCAAGGCGACGAUGCGUAGCCGACCUGAGAGGGUGAACGGCCACACUGGGACUGAGACACGGCCCAGACUCCUACGGGAGGCAGCAGUAGGGAAUCUUCCGCAAUGGGCGAAAGCCUGACGGAGCAACGCCGCGUGAGUGAUGAAGGUUUUCGGAUCGUAAAGCUCUGUUGCCAGGGAAGAACGUCUCAUAGAGUAACUGCUAUGAGAGUGACGGUACCUGAGAAGAAAGCCCCGGCUAACUACGUGCCAGCAGCCGCGGUAAUACGUAGGGGGCAAGCGUUGUCCGGAAUUAUUGGGCGUAAAGCGCGCGCAGGCGGUUCUUUAAGUCUGGUGUUUAAACCCGAGGCUCAACUUCGGGACGCACUGGAAACUGGGGAACUUGAGUGCAGAAGAGGAGAGUGGAAUUCCACGUGUAGCGGUGAAAUGCGUAGAUAUGUGGAGGAACACCAGUGGCGAAGGCGACUCUCUGGGCUGUAACUGACGCUGAGGCGCGAAAGCGUGGGGAGCGAACAGGAUUAGAUACCCUGGUAGUCCCCCGCCGUAACGAUGAAUGCCAGGUGUUAGGGGUUUCCACACCCUUGGUCGCCGAAU
rnacentral:rRNA from 1 species